rnacentral:rRNA from 1 species
UACGAAGGGGGCUAGCGUUGCUCGGAAUCACUGGGCGUAAAGCGCGCGUAGGCGGCUUUGUAAGUUAGAGGUGAAAGCCCGGGGCUCAACCCCGGAACUGCCUUUAAGACUGCAUCGCUUGAAUCCGGGAGAGGUGAGUGGAAUUCCGAGUGUAGAGGUGAAAUUCGUAGAUAUUCGGAAGAACACCAGUGGCGAAGGCGGCUCACUGGACCGGCAUUGACGCUGAUGUGCGAAAGCGUGGGGAGCAAACAGG